rnacentral:rRNA from 1 species
AUGAACGCUGGCGGCGUGCCUAAUACAUGCAAGUCGAGCGCACAGACGAGGAGCUUGCUCCUCUGACGUUAGCGGCGGACGGGUGAGUAACACGUGGAUAACCUACCUAUAAGACUGGGAUAACUUCGGGAAACCGGAGCUAAUACCGGAUAAUAUAUUGAACCGCAUGGUUCAAUAGUGAAAGACGGUUUUGCUGUCACUUAUAGAUGGAUCCGCGCCGCAUUAGCUAGUUGGUAAGGUAACGGCUUACCAAGGCAACGAUGCGUAGCCGACCUGAGAGGGUGAUCGGCCACACUGGAACUGAGACACGGUCCAGACUCCUACGGGAGGCGGCAGUAGGGAAUCUUCCGCAAUGGGCGAAAGCCUGACGGAGCAACGCCGCGUGAGUGAUGAAGGUCUUCGGAUCGUAAAACUCUGUUAUUAGGGAGGAACAAAUGUGUAAGUAACUAUGCACGUCUUGACGGUACCUAAUCAGAAAGCCACGGCUAACUACGUG